rnacentral:lncRNA from 1 species
AAUGAUUUUUCAAUGGUUCUGUUGAACAUGCAAUUCUCACUGAAAGCACCAGAUUUCCGCGUAGGAGGAACUCGGGGGCAACGAUGCAAUUGGAAGGCACUGGAAGCAUUCAGGAAGCCCUGGGGCCAAAGCAAACAGCAUGCUUGAGGCAAGGUGCUGUGAGGCCCAAAUGAGCUGAAGCUUGCACAAAACUGCUCACCACUGCCAUAGCUGAAUCAGCGGAGGCCAGGAGGAUGCGAGGCGGUGCCCGCCCGCGAUUGUCUGAUCAUCUCCCUCUUGGACUGCUCAGACUCAGGCAUGCCCUGCAUCAAAUCCAACCUGUCACCAGGUCUUCAAGGGGGAGGCCUGCGGAAAUCCUACUGUGAAUGAAACUACAGUUGCUAUUCAUCGUCUCCCUCCUGCACCUACCACUCCAGAUGUCCCUCACUCUUGGCCAGCACUUUGGCUUGUUUAAGUUGUGUGCCAGGUGAGGUGACCACACCUUCCCCCCUGCAGUUUCUGAGUCUUUCCUGAGCUUUGUCUUGGUUGGCCCUUGGCUGCUGUGACUGCCUAUUUUAUCUAAUUGCAGGUUCAAGAUUCACCAAGAAGGCAGGGCGCAGUGGCUCACAUCUGUAAUCCCAGCACUUUGGGAGGCUGAAGCAGGCAGAUCACUUCAGCCCAGGAGUUUGAGACCAGCCUGGGCAACAGAGCAAGACCCCAUCUCUAAAGAAAAAUAAUUAUUCAGGUGUGGUGGCACAUGCCUGUAGUCCCAGCUACUCAGGAGGCGGAGGUGGGAGGAUCGCUUGAGCCCAGGAGGUUGAGGCUGCAGUGAGCCAUGAUUGCACCAUUGCACUCUAGCUGGGCAACAGAGCAAAACCCUGUCUCCAAAAAUAAUAAGUAAAUAAAUAAAUAAGAUACUAAGAGACAUCCCAGUGACUCUCCUGAGUCCCAAACAUACUCAUCCAUCCCUCAUGGAGAAACAACUCUAUCUCCUUG